rnacentral:rRNA from 1 species
AUUGAACGCUGGCGGAAUGCUUUACACAUGCAAGUCGAACGGCAGCACGGACUUCGGUCUGGUGGCGAGUGGCGAACGGGUGAGUAAUACAUCGGAACGUGCCCAAUCGUGGGGGAUAACGUAGCGAAAGCUACGCUAAUACCGCAUACGAUCUAAGGAUGAAAGCGGGGGAUCGCAAGACCUCGCGCGAUUGGAGCGGCAGAUGGCAGAUUAGGUAGUUGGUAGGGUAAAGGCCUACCAAGCCGACGAUCUGUAGCUGGUCUGAGAGGAUGAUCAGCCACACUGGGGCUGAGACACGGCCCAGACUCCUACGGGAGGCAGCAGUGGGGAAUUUUGGACAAUGGACGCAAGUCUGAUCCAGCCAUUCCGCGUGCAGGAUGAAGGCCCUCGGGUUGUAAACUGCUUUUGUACAGAACGAAAAGGCUCUGGUUAAUACCUAGGGCUCAUGACGGUACUGUAAGAAUAAGCACCGGCUAACUACGUGCCAGCAGCCGCCGCGG